ACACACACACACACACACACACACACACACACACACACACACACACACACACACACACGAAAUCCCUUUUUUUAUUGCACCAUAUUUUGUCUCAGGGCAGACAAAACACAGAGGGGACAUUUCUCCAAGCUUGGAUAAAAAAAGCGCUUUCAGCUUCAUAUGCACAAAAAAGCAUCACACACACACAUACACACUUCUACAAACAUUUAUUUACAGGUAGUAAUAUUUUUGCAACACGAAAUAGCUUAAUUUCUUUACUGAAAUGAGGUUUUAUAUUUUGUCUGUAUUGUUUUGUUGGAAGUACUCCAGCAUUCAUUGAUUUUUAUCAAAUGUGGUUGAGGUUAAUGUAAUUUGAGAAACUGCCGUGUGUUUGAAGCAUAUGUUGCAUCAUCUAUUUAUGACUUUUUGGAAAACACAAUAUAAAUGAGCUGCCUCAGCUAUAACAUCACACCUGUUCUAAUGUUUACAGAGGAUUUCAGCCAUGAUUUGUUUUUCCUAUUACGCAAAAAAUUAAAAAAAAAAGUACUUCUUCACUUCUCAUCGUCUCGUUAGUGAGCAUAUCACAAAGUAAAAGCAGCUUAUUUGUUUUAGCUGGGACUCUAAUAAGAGCAAUAACACAAAAAAAGGCAAGGUGCAAAACUUCAACUUGAAAAAAAGAGGAAAACAACAAAUCAGACACUCAGAAACACGCCUCGGUGUCAGCCUGAGCAUUUUUACUGGCUGGCAAUAGGCAGAUCCGCCGAAUCAGCUGACAUCCGCAGUGAACAGCCGCCGAAAACCARAAGCCAUAAACAACAAGACUCAACACCCGCCCACAGCAAUGCGCAUCACCUCUGGUCGCUAGGGGGCACUGCAGAGAGACGCCACUGUUUACCAUGUUCCACAUACCUAAGCCAAUGCAUUUAUGUACAUUUUAAUAUGCAUGCGCGCGUCUGUGCGUGAAAGAGAGGCUGCAUGUGUGCGUGUGUGUGUGUGUGUGUGUGUGUGUGUGUGUGUGUGACGGGGUGGGGGUGAUAGGGGAUCAUGAUAUUCUGACUGAUCCAUUUUUCUCUCCCCCUCCACUUCAAGUCUCGUGUUUAAGAGUUUGUGAAAUAUCCAAAGCGAACGAUAAUUGGACUUCAAAGAGCUGAUGUUAUGAGCUGUGAUCUGUAAUUCAGCGGUUUGAAAUCAACCCUGUAUAGACAUGUGCUGCAGAGGUAACAGCUGCCUGCAGCUCAGCCUGUAUGUGCCCCAUCAUGUUCUCUCAUCUAUUCUGUUUCAUACUUUAAAAAAAACACGUAGGUAUAUUCGAGUGGAAUUUAGGCACAAACAAACACAGACAUAUUAGAGAAACACACACGCGAGGCAGCAGCACGGUGACACACACGCACACACAAAC